GUGGCGAGUGGCGGACGGGUGAGGAAUACAUCGGAAUCUACCUUUUCGUGGGGGAUAACGUAGGGAAACUUACGCUAAUACCGCAUACGACCUUAGGGUGAAAGCGGAGGACCUUCGGGCUUCGCGCGGAUAGAUGAGCCGAUGUCGGAUUAGCUAGUUGGCGGGGUAAAGGCCCACCAAGGCGACGAUCCGUAGCUGGUCUGAGAGGAUGAUCAGCCACACUGGAACUGAGACACGGUCCAGACUCCUACGGGAGGCAGCAGUGGGGAAUAUUGGACAAUGGGCGCAAGCCUGAUCCAGCCAUGCCGCGUGGGUGAAGAAGGCCUUCGGGUUGUAAAGCCCUUUUGUUGGGAAAGAAAAGCAGUCGGUUAAUACCCGAUUGUUCUGACGGUACCCAAAGAAUAAGCACCGGCUAACUUCGUGCCAGCAGCCGCGGUAAUACGAAGGGUGCAAGCGUUACUCGGAAUUACUGGGCGUAAAGCGUGCGUAGGUGGUUGUUUAAGUCCGUUGUGAAAGCCCUGGGCUCAACCUGGGAAUUGCAGUGGAUACUGGGCAACUAGAGUGUGGUAGAGGAUGGCGGAAUUCCCGGUGUAGCAGUGAAAUGCGUAGAGAUCGGGAGGAACAUCUGUGGCGAAGGCGGCCAUCUGGACCAACACUGACACUGAGGCACGAAAGCGUGG
rnacentral:rRNA from 1 species